rnacentral:rRNA from 1 species
UAGUGGCAGACGGGUGAGUAAUGUAUAGGAAUCUACCUAGUAGUACGGAAUAAUUGUUGGAAACGGCAACUAAUACCGUAUACGCCCUACGGGGGAAAAAUUUAUCGCUAUUAGAUGAGCCUAUAUUAGAUUAGCUUGUUGGUAGGGUAAUGGCUUACCAAGGCAAUGAUCUAUAGCUGAUCUGAGAGGAUGAUCAGCCACACUGGAACUGAGAUACGGUCCAGACUCCUACGGGAGGCAGCAGUGGGGAAUAUUGGACAAUGGGCGAAAGCCUGAUCCAGCCAUGCCGCAUGAGUGAAGAAGGCCUUUGGGUUGUAAAGCUCUUUUAGUGAGGAAGAUAAUGACGGUACUCACAGAAGAAGUCCUGGCUAACUCCGUGCCAGCAGCCGCGGUAAUACGGAGAGGGCUAGCGUUAUUCGGAAUUAUUGGGCGUAAAGGGCGCGUAGGCGGAUUAGUAAGUUAAAAGUGAAAUCCCAAGGCUCAACCUUGGAAUUGCUUUUAAAACUGCUAAUCUAGAGAUUGAAAGAGGAUAGAGGAAUUCCUAGUGUAGAGGUGAAAUUCGUAAAUAUUAGGAGGAACACCAGUGGCGAAGGCGUCUAUCUGGUUCAAAUCUGACGCUGANGCGCGAAGGCGUGGGGAGCAAACAGGAUUAGAUACCCUGGUAGUCCACGCUGUAAACGAUGAAUGUUAAAUAUGGGAAGUUUACUUUCUGUAUUACAGCUAACGCGUUAAACAUUCCGCCUGGGGACUACNGUCGCAAGAUUAAAACUCAAAGGAAUUGACGGGGACCCGCACAAGCGGUGG